rnacentral:tRNA from 1 species
GCCUUCGUGGUGUAGUGGUCUGCACGCUGGGUGCUUAUUCCAGAGGUCCGUGGUUCGAUUCCCGGCGAAGGCG